AUCCGCCCUACCGAGUUCAGUGCCAGAUACCUCUGAACCAACUAAUAGUGGGUAAGUUUUUCUUUUUCUUUUUCUUUUUCUUUUUGUAGCAAUUUUUUACAAUUCUUUGGUUUAAAUGACUUUGUGAGGGUCACCUAUACCGGAGUUGCCUUUUUGCUUUCUUUUAUUUUUUGUUUUGCUGGAUCAUUCACUUAUUUGCAUCGGUCCCCUACGUAGAGGAUG
rnacentral:lncRNA from 1 species